CACUGUCUGGCUGUGGGCCAGAGUCGGCGUAGCGUCGAAUAAAAUGCUUUUAAUUAGGAAUUAAAGUUUAGAUUCUGUCUCACAUUAUUCCUAGCGCGGGGGGGAUAUAACUGUGGAUUAUAGGAGACUGGGUUGAUGGAUUUUCUUGAGUCUGCACUCGUUUUGAAGGUGACGUGCAGCCUCCUGGACAGGAGACGGAAGGUGCCAGAAAGACAUGCCUGAGAUGAGGGGAUUGGAGUUCAGGUCCGGUGUCAGCACAGGGUUCGGCAGGUACAACAGGAUUUGAGUGCUGUUAAAGGUGCGGAAACAGUGUCACCUCUGACACGGUACUGAGAACUAUGCCAAGACGGCCUCACUGAGAAUAGCCACACAGGCAUCAAUAGAGGCCAAAUUUUUGUCCCAGUUUCUCCCAAUUCACAAGGCCAAUUACCCAGCCCACUCAUCAGGACUCCCCCUAUCACUAGUAAUGCCCCAACACCAGGAGGGUGAAGACUAGCAUAUGCCUCCUACGAACACCGCCUCUUUUUGGAACUGCUGCUUAUUUAGAUGCAAAAAAUACACAUUGCCUGGUCUGGAAACGUGCAAAAGGCAUGUACUAAUUAAUCAUGGUGUGUUUUGGGCAUAAUGUGAAAUAAACCAAUCAGUGUGUCACUUGCCAUGCUCUUUAAGAGCCAGGUGCGCUCUGACUUCGAUGUAUUGUUAGUUUAAUGGCGCAGCGCUUCUGAGCUUCUCAGCAAAGGGCCAGCAUUAAAAAAUGUUACAAAAACACCAAUGUUGUUUGUAUUCUGUUUACUGUUGAUGUGAUGCUGCAUUUAAUCUGCUCUGUCACGUCAACGCACAUGAAAGCACAGCCCCCUUAAUCUGGUCACAUGUGGGCAUUACAAAGGGGUUCCCUGUGACGUCCAAUUAAAUCGUUUUA